rnacentral:rRNA from 1 species
UUUAAAGAGAGUUUGAUCCUGGCUCAGGACGAACGCUGGCGGCGUGCCUAAUACAUGCAAGUCGAACGAACGGAGGAAGAGCUUGCUCUUCCAAUGUUAGUGGCGGACGGGUGAGUAACACGUGGGCAACCUGCCUG